CAGAGUCGGAGCGGAACUCCUGUCGGACAACAUCUCCAGGACGCUACGCUCCAUCUGACUAAUGAACGAAAGUCUUAGAUGGUUUGGAGCAUCUUAAGGCUUCUGCAAGCGUGUAUGGCGUCUGGCUGUUGGAACCUCACUGUGACUUCAGAUAAGAACAAAGAUUAAAUUGUAAGAAGGGCUGCUUGUAAGAGCAUAUCUGAAACUGCUGAGGCUGGGAAGGUUUUUGACUAUAUUUCUGACCAGAUCAGCUGCUAUAGACUACAAACUGAAAUCUGAGUGCACAGACAAGCAAAGGAAUACUGCAAGGCACUUGUGCAAAAUAUUGUAUCCCAGGACAACUAGGCUGUGCCCAGGUCUCCGGAACCUGCGACGAUGCUCAGCUCCAUCUGCCCUCCGUCUGCGCCUUCGGAUCCACCAGCUCUGUCUCCAUCAGUCGGCC